GGAGAGGUGGCUGAGUGGUCUAAGGCGCUUGACUCGAAAUCAAGUGUACUCGCAAGGGUACCGUGAGUUCAAAUCUCACCCUCUCCG
rnacentral:tRNA from 1 species